GGACUGUAGGCUGCAACUCGCCUACACGAAGCUGGAAUCGCUAGUAAUCGCGGAUCAGCACGCCGCGGUGAAUACGUUCCCGGGCCUUGUACACACCGCCCGUCACACCAUGAGAGUCUGUAACACCCAAAGCCGGUGGGAUAACCUUUAUAGGAGUCAGCCGUCUAAGGUAGGACAGAUGAUUAGGGUGAAGUCGUAACAAGGUAGC
rnacentral:rRNA from 1 species